GUCUACGGCCAUACCACCCUGAACACGCCCGAUCCCAUCUGAUCUUGGAAGUUAAGCAGGGUUGAGCCUGGCUAGUACUUGGAUGGGAGACCGCCUAGGAAGACCAGGUGCUGUAGGCA
rnacentral:rRNA from 1 species